UAUGGCAGAUUAUAUGUAAUGGAU
rnacentral:tRNA from 2 species